CAGUCGCCGCGGUAAUACGGAGGGGGCUAGCGUUGUUCGGAAUUACUGGGCGUAAAGCGCACGUAGGCGGCUUUGUAAGUUAGAGGUGAAAGCCCGGAGCUCAACUCCGGAAUUGCCUUUAAGACUGCAGAGCUAGCAGGUGAGAGAGGUGAGUGGAAUUCCGAGUGUAGAGGUGAAAUUCGUAGAUAUUCGGAAGAACACCAGUGGCGAAGGCGGUUCACUGGCUCAUACUGGACGCUGAGGUGCGAAAGCGUGGGGAGCAAACAGGAUUAGAUACCCCCGUAGUCCCUGUCUCUUAUAC
rnacentral:rRNA from 1 species